rnacentral:lncRNA from 1 species
GUCGGAGUUGGUAACAGAGCCCGGCUCCCGUAGGAGUCCGGGUGGAGUCCGCUUGCUAUCGGAGCCGGAGACGAGGCCCAGCUCCCAUGGGAGUCCGGGCGGAGUUUACCUGCAAUCAAAGUCGGAGUUGGUGACGGAGCCCGUGAGGGUCAAUCCUAUUGAGAACUUCGGCUGAGGGUAUUUUAUACCCAACAGGUAUGAUUACACAUAUUCUCAAGAACUGAGAAUUUAA